UCAGCUGAGGGUCAAUCUGUGUAAAUCCAUAUUAGUACAAUUUAAUUUUGUUCUGACUUCCUCAAAGAACCAAGCAGGCAUCAGUUGCAGUGCUCGCUAAGUGGCUCAAUGCCCUAAGCAUUUCUGUCCUAUUUAAACGAAUGCUCAUAGAGUGCACGAAUUUUUAAAGAGUCACAUUCAUGAGGGUGUGGUGAUGCUCGCCGAAAUCCCAGAACUAAAGGGGAGGAGACAGAAAGACAGAAAGAUCAGUUCAAGAUCCUCGGAAACACAAAAAGUUCAAGCUAGGCUUUAUGAGACCCUGUCUCAGAAAAUCAAACAAGCAAACAAAAAAAGAUUCACCCAGUGUACUACGCAUGGGUCACCAAAACCAGGAAAAGAACAGCCCGCAACGCCCCAGCCUUUUCGCGCAUGCCCACGUCCGCGCAGUCACGGGGCAGAGGGUGGGGCCUUGUAGUAGCGUCCCUUUCCUUUCCCCUCUUGGUUUCUUGAGGGGUGAGGGUGGGGCAGAGAUUUGCUGCCUCACAUUGUGAUUGGACAAGCUAUGAUCGGGGUAAGCGAUUGGGUGAAGUUUCCGCCUCUCUCCCAGAAGCCUGCUCCGAUUGGCUGAAAUGCAGCAACGUGCUGUGAGGUCAUCCGUACUGCGACGUCCGUCUAGCUGUGGGGCUGACUGAACGUUCCCCGUGCCUAUCGGCUGCUGUACGGUCCUGGUCUCCUGAGAUCCGGUCGCCGUGGGUUUGCUUGUGUUUGGACCCCAGGCUUGGUGACUUAGUAAGCAGAUGGGAGCAGCCAGUCUCCUGCAGAUACAGGACAUUGAGAGCAAAUCCUUUCUUCAUCAAGUCAUCUCCUCAACCCAAGAGUAAAACUGUCUCUUCUUACUCCCUUUGAGGCGAGAUCUGUGGUUCUAUGCAACGUCCUGCUACUUCUCCAGACAUCAAGUCUAGACAUCUAGACCGUUACUAGUGUGUCCUGCAGCGCCCUCACCUGCCUUCAAUAAAUUUCCAGCAGACAAUCACCUUUUUUCGGUUCUGGGGAGACAAUUGCUGUGCUAUACCUGAAGAUGGCCAGCAGGGGGUGCCACAAGGUCUGUAUUUGUUCCAGUUGCAGUCAGUCAUCUGUAGCCAGCACUGGCUCUGAAGAUCUGGAAGGAGGGUACUUCACCGGAAUACUGAGACUGGGUACAGAGAGGAAUUCAGAGAAUAUUGAUUGAGCUGAGUAUGAUCUAGACAUGGCCUAGAAGUUUAAAUUCAAUAAGAUACUGGUACUAACUCAGGAGGCUCUUUGUCUUGUUUUAUUUGUAAUGUUUCCAGUGUUUAUUACAUUGCGAGGAUUAGGGCUAGGGUUUGGGUACUGGUACUUUAGUUUACUAGAGACACUGUAACAAAGUACUACAGGCUGGGUAGCUUAACGGCUAGAAAUGUAUCGCCUCACAGUUUUGAGGAUCAGAGGUCUAAAGCUAAGGUGUGAAGACACAGGGAAGGGCUAUCUAGGUCUGGCCCCUCCCUCCCCUCUGGCCCCUCCUCCCCUCUGGCUCCUCUCUCCCGUCCGUGCCCUCCCUCUUGUCCUGCCCCGCCCUCCCAUCUGGCCACGCCUCUCGGUAACCUCUGACUCUUAUUCCUUUCCUUGUGAAUGCAUGGCUGCCACCUUCUGUCUGCACAGACCCCUCUUCCUGUGCCUUCAUGUGCUCUUCUCUCUGCUCGGAACCCUCCCUGCCCGCCCCACCGCGUGUGUGUUUUCAGUUGACUCUAUUUUUUUUUUUUUUUUUUUUGAGGCGAGGUUUCUCAGUGAACCUGGACUUCAGCAUGUCAGCCUGACUGUGGCCAGCAUGCCUCCUGUCUCUGUCCCCCAGGGCGGGAUUGCAGAUGCACACUACUGCUCCUGGCUUUUACACGGGUGCCAAAGGGGCUGACCUCAGUUCCUCACACUUGCGAGUAGCGCUCCCAGUUCCUAAUUUCACCCGUUCUGUUUGCUAGGUCUGGGGCUCAAACCCUGGGCCUGGUGUAAG